GUCAUCCUCUCCACUGCCGCCUCACAUUCUUCUCUGGAUAGUUCCCCACCACUGCCUCACAAUCUCCUCUGUUCCCCAUUCUCUCCACCACAACCAGCGCUCCCUGGUCAGGCCGCCCCUUCCCUUCGUCACCACUGCCGGCGCUCCCUGGUCAGGCUGCCCUCCCCUUCGUCACCAGCGUCACCGCUCCCUAGCAGGCCGCCCCUCCCCUUCGAAUCAGAUCGCAGAAGUGGUCGGGAAGAUCCUCGAGCUCGGCAUGCUCGCGCCAGUGGUAGGCGCCGUUGGAUGCGGACGCGGAGGCUCGGGACUUGCACGCCCUACUCUACCCUGUUCCUUCCAAUCCGGCCCCGAAGUGCUCGAGGAGGCGCUCGAGGUCGGCAUGCUCACCGGCGAUGCUUGGUCCCUCCAUUCUCCUGGUUCCCUCACCGUCGCCAACAUGAGCCUCUCCACUCUCUCCCGCGCGAUCGUCCAGGUCUAGCCCCUUCUGGUUGUGAGUGGAUCCAAGAGUUCAUAUGAUGCAGUAUCUUUUUGAAAGAUGAUAGAUUAUCUUCAUAAAAGAAAGGAAGUUGGAGAAGUUAUUACUGAAGAGGAAUUCAGUGCUAUGUGCUUCUCAAGAGCUAAACUGGAACAAGAAGUGCAUGACUCUCAUGCCUACACUAACUAAUCAGACUUCCCGAAGGAGAAGAAGGAGGUGCGGAAAGAGGAUGGGAGCAACAAAUCUGAAUCAAAGAUUAUGUUUUGUUGUGGAUCUUCUAUGGAAUGUUGUUGCUAGUAACCAAGCAUGCUUUCUCUUUAGUUCCUCUAUGAAAGUAGCAUCAAAUUGGGAUUUUGUUGAUGAUUUGCAAAGCUUAAUUGAGACAUAAUUCUCUCAGUUCCCACUUUUGCAAAUCGUGAUUGUUAGUUGAAGUUAGUUGGUUCUCCCGAUCCUAGUUGCUUCUAAUGCAGGUCUGUAGUCCUGAGUUUAGUGGGUGAUUCUGUACGAUCUUGCGAUGAUUAUAACUGCAACACUUGAGGGUUGGUAGUAGCACAUGCCCAAGGCUUGAUGAACUCGUAUGGCUUUUGUUCUCUUUCUUUUGGAGGGGAGAACUCUUCCACUUCGCUUCUGCCUUUUCAUCAGCUUCCAUGCUGCAGUUUGACAAUUUUUAUUUCGGUGUUAUUUUUUGGGUUCCCUUUUCCCAUCUUUUAUGUUUGUCGAUGGGUCAUUAAAACAGAAAACGGUGAUGUAUGAACCAUUUUGACCAAUGAUUUAUUCAUUGUGUCCACCAGUGAUCUUUUGAGAUACUGACGCUUGUUUUUUUUGGAAUUAGGGGUGAGAAUUACUUAUCGAUGACUCGGGCAUCAACUCUUGAUUUUCGGCGGAAGACACAGGGUCAGAACAACUGGUCUGGGCCGUUGCGCCCAGUAAAUGCCAUCAAAAAUAAAUUCCCUACCUAUAAGAAUGGUACGAAUGGGAUAGUCAUCAAAUUUGCUGAUGAGCCAGAAACGCCAUGACUUAAGGAGUCUGUUGCCAAAGAGACAACAGAUCUGCUUGAUCGGCGUCAGCGUCUUUCAGUCCACGAGCUCGCAAUGAAAUUUGAGAAGGGCCUCAAUACUGCCACAUUAUUAUCUAACGAGGUUAAAUGUAAACAAGUGGCUUUAUUAGAGCGAGACAUCCUUCUGAAGAAUCUAAAGAGUGUAUUGGAGUCACUGAGAGGUCAAGUAGCUGGCAAAUAUAAGGAUGAAAUUGGGGAAUCGGUAUCUAUGGUGGAUAUUUUAGCAGUUCAGCUGUCCAAAACAGAAAAUGAGUUGCUUCAGCAGAAAACCGAGGUCACGAGAAUAGCGACUUCACUAAAACUGGCUUCUGAAGAUGCUAGGAGAAUUGUUGACGAAGAACGAACUAAUGCACGCAUGGAGAUUGAAAAUGCUAGAGCUGCUGUACAAAGAGUUCAAAAAGUACUUAAAGAGAAAGAGAACAAUUCACAAAGAAUUAGAAAGGAGGUAAAUUGUAUAUAAUUUUAUGAGCAGCAUAUUAUCUUGUUUUCUGUACUUUAGUACCAAGCUUACCUGGAACUUAUGCCUGAAUCUGUAUUCCUUAUAUAUUCUUUUAUUUAUGUCAUAUACAAUUACUCCCCUUGACUUCUGUACAAUUUUUCUGUUCAAAACCAGUGGUAGUUUAUUUUAAUUUGACUAUGCAACCUUCUAUGUACUGCAUCAUACAGCAAUAGAUCUUCCUGCCCAACUUUGCUUUUAUUGCUUGCUUGUCCAGAUGCUGUGCUUUGGCACUGUCCUCAAUUUGUUAUACUCAUUGUAUUACUUGCUCUAUCUUCAGAAUGUAGAUUCAUUCGGUUGGGAUAUAGUUGGUAUUAGAGUAUUACAUAUCCAUUGUGAAUAAAUUUAGACUAUUCCAUCUAAGCAUUUUGUCCUCAUGCAAUUUCUAUUACAUGUAAUGACUUAAUAUUAUGACUCUGAUGAUAUAUAUCUUCAAGCAGUCCUAUUAUAUUUGUUUGUUUACUGGCAUGUUGAAACACUUAAUAAGUUAUUUGUUUGUUUUUCUGGCUCAAAUAUAUAUAUGAGAUUUCAUUAAAAAGUUAGGCAGUCAACUAUGGUCAUGACUUAAAAAGUUAGGUGUAUGACACACAUGCGAUGUCCAGAAUAGACUGUUAGCCUAUAAUAUCUGAAAGAACUGUUUGUAUUCAGUUGCAGCCCACCUAAUAGGACUGCUUGAUUCCGUCGAGUAUGGAAAAAGCGAAAGGUAUUUUACGGUCUCUUUUGCGUUCUUCUUCUGUUACUUGCAUAUUUUCUGUGGUAUCAUUCAAGUCAUCUACUGAUGUCUUCCUUGGGUUUCUCUCAAAAGCGAAAGGUAAAAACAACAUGAUAGCAAACGAGUAUGGAAAAAGCACAAUCAUUUUACCUUCUAUAUUUUUAUCUGCAAUUACAUCAGACGUGCCCGUAGCUUUAGGAGGAUAUGUUGAUUCAUUAUGCGGGAUUGAUGUAUCAACCGAGCUAGCUGGGUCAUCUAAUAUAACAUGCUUGGUUAGUAUUUAUUAAAAUGGCUGAACCAUGAAUGCUAGGAUGUAACAUAAAAUAAUCUUACUUGAAUUACAAAGGGGACGAAGAUCAACUUUCCUGUGCUUAUCAUCUCACGUGGGUUUGAUUAGCUGCCCCAACAUAUGAUCUGCCCCAACAUUAGUUCCUAUUGUAAUCCAGCAGGGGCGUUCAGAAAGCAAAGAGAAGUUAAACAUAAUCACAAAUAGUAUGAUUGUCAAAUACGCACAUAUAACUAACGACAUUGUAAAUCCACCAAAUAUGUACCAGGGAUCACAUAUGAAGAUUGUUGAACAUUUGUGAUAUCACAUAGAGUACGGCGGUGAACAAUCGGCCCAUCGUCUAGAUGGUUUAUAAAACCAUCUGACUUCUUAGUGCGAUAAGAUGCCCGCCUCCACGCGUUGAUAAGAUCCCUAUGGUCUACCAUUUUUACAACAGGUAUGAGAGUUAGAGAACAAAAAAAGUAUGUACAAAUCACUUAGAUAGAUGUUGAUACAACAUCUAUGAAACCAACACGGGGAACAUCUAUGAAGUCAGGUUACUAUAACGAUUAAUUUGCAUACUAUAGGUAUUCAGAAAAACCCAAGAGUAGUCAGCAAAAUCACGCUUAAAUACUUACCAGUCUUUGAAAGGGAUGGCUGAUUAUCCUCUUGUAACCUGACCAUAUCCUCCUCUUUUUUCUUCGGAUAAGAUUCACGCCUCUAUGCGUUGAACUGCUCCCUUGUUUCGCCAACGUUUUUUUCUUCAUUACAUACAGCUACUGUUGCAUGCUGCUUGGAAGUUUUGUCAUCUGCAUUACGUUAAGCGUAAAAACCACAAAGCCCAUUAAGCUCAUCUGGGAAAAUGGACUAAACCUCUCUGAUCCGCUACCGGAGAUGUCGAUUUGGAAGCUGUAUAAGCAUGCCUGUGAAUACCUUGAGUAUCACCUCGUAGCUUAGUCAUACCAUCCUUAUUAUUCUCAGAAUACGAUGGAAUCCCGUCGUUUGAAGGUUCCCGCCCUAGAUCUUAGCAAUCAACAAAAUAUACGAUAUGCACGAAACAUUAGCAGCAAUCUUGACACAGUCUUAUACCUGCUCCCGUCGUGUAAAUAUCGUGAAUAUUUGCAUGUAAGGGUAUGAAGUUUGCAUUGUAGUCUCCAACAUUUAUCCCGCUCGUAAGGACUGCAACACAUAAAAUGCAUUCUGCCACUUUCAGAAAUGCACGUGAGGCAACAUUUAUAACCAAUCUUCGCACAGUAUUAUACCUAAUUCCGUCGUGUAAACGUUAUCAACAAUUUCAGCUACGGGUAUGAUGCUCGCAUUGUGUUCUGCAUCACUUCUCCCGCUUGUAAGACCUGGAAGACAUUAUGCAUACAGCCUGUCACUGUCAGAUAUUCAGGUCUCGCAACUAAACAAAAACAUGGUAGACUGCAUCAUACCUGUAGUUACGUCAUCUUCUGGUUGAUGUUCGUGUGCCGUGCUUUUUGAAUUCCCCAUAUGCAACUAUUGAAUGGCAAAAAUCAUGAAGACAGAAAUGGUAGUUCUUUGAUGAUCUUCACCAACAUGGUAAUUUCUUCUACAUCUUUGACAUUCUGCAAGGGUUAUUGUUCUACAUAUAUACUGCAACAUGUUGCUAGCAUAUACUGCAAUUGUAUUUUAUUCUACAUAUAUACUGCAAUGGCACUUUCAUCUACAUCUUCUACAUCUCUGUACUUUAUUAGAAUGCAAGUGUUUUUGUUCUAUCUUUAGUUCAGCACAAGUGGAAACAUACUCUUGGGUCUUGUAUGGUUUAUGUUUUCUUUUUUGCCAUAUUCACUCAAGUGCAGGAUGCAGGAUACUCCUUGGUACAAAAAAUGCCAAUUGCCAACUGUAAACAUGUGUACUUGAGUCUAUUUUUAACAUGAAAAAAACCUAAACUGUGUGCAACAGAAAUCAAUCUCGCAGGCGGAUCCAUCCCUGUGAAAGCACUUGCCAUGGCUGUAUGACAUGCGAUGGAUGUAUGGGCUGUGAGAUGUAUGAGAUGCGAUUGUAUGGCAUUUGAGAUGUAUGAGAUGCGAUUGACGUAUGAGAUGGUUUGUAUACCUAUUUUUCGGAUCUAGGACGUGUUCUGGCCGGAUCCUGGACGUGUCCGCGUAUACGCGUCUAGGAUCAGCGCCGGAUCCUGGAUCAAGGGCGAGGAGUUCAGCACGGCGGCGAAGUGAUGGAGGGCGGCGGCGACCUGAUCCAGGACCAGCGCCGGAUCGUCGAGGUGUUCAGCGCGGCGGCGAAGUGAUGGAGGGCCGCGGCGACCUUGUCCAGGAUCGACGCGGAUGGAGGACGGCGAGUGAAGCGGGGGCGGCGACCUCGACCACGAUGGAGGGCGGCGACGAUGGAGGGCAGCGACUGAAGCGCGGCGGCGCAGGGAUGUAGGGCGGCCACGAAGGGAGACCUCGCUCGAUAACAGGACUCGUCGCUCCUACGUGCGUUCGCACGGUUUUUCUGUCGUUGGUUAACCGUCGUAGGUUUUUUUGUCGCAGGUUAACCUUCGUACGUCUAUUGAGGGUCACAUGUGGAUAGGUGCGGGUUGGGGCCUCAGGAGGAGGUUUUUUUGGUUUGUGGUGGCUUAGUGAGAGGUGGGAGGAGGUACCAAAAUAAACCAUGGGAGGUGGGACUAAAAAAAAUCUGGAAGCGAGACUACCAACUGCUCCCUUAGGAGUAGAAGAUUUUACCAUUAUUAUCUAAAACAUGCAAAACAAAUUGCACAAUCUUCA